AGGGUUCGAUUCUGGCUCAGGACGAACGCUGGCGGCGUGCUUCAUACAUGCAAGUCGAACGAGAAGUUGACUUCGGUCAAUGGAAAGUGGCGGACGGGUGAGUAAAAUGUAGGUAAUCUGCCUUUAAGCGGGGGACAACAGUUGGAAACGAUUGCUAAUACCCCAUAUGAGAUUAUUUGCGAUAAUAAUCUUGAAAACUCCGGUGCUUAGAGAUGAGCCUGCAUCUGAUUAGCUAGUUGGGGGUGUAAUGGACCACCAAGGCGACGAUCAGUAGCUGGUUUGAGAGGAUGAUCAGCCACAAUGGGACUGAGACACGGCCCAUACUCCUACGGGAGGCAGCAGUAGGGAAUUUUGCGCAAUGGGCGAAAGCCUGACGCCAGCAACGCCGCGUGAAUGAGACGGCCUUCGGGUUGUAAAGUUCUGUCAAUAGGGACGAAAGAUGACGGUACCUAUAGAGGAAGCACCGGCUAACUCCGUGCCAGCAGCAGC
rnacentral:rRNA from 1 species